rnacentral:rRNA from 1 species
UUUCCUACGGGACGCAGCAGUGGGGAAUAUUGCACAAUGGGGGAAACCCUGAUGCAGCGACGCCGCGUGAAGGACGAAGUAUUUCGGUACGUAAACUUCUAUCAGCAGGGAAGAAAAUGACGGUACCUGACCAAGAAGCCCCGGCUAACUACGUGCCAGCAGCCGCGGUAAUACGUAGGGGGCAAGCGUUAUCCGGAUUUACUGGGUGUAAAGGGAGCGUAGACGGCCAUGCAAGUCUGAUGUGAAAACCCGGGGCUCAACCCCGGGACUGCAUUGGAAACUGUGCGGCUGG